UAGACAAAAUAGGCAGGGUUCACACAAAUUGACCACAGCUUUGCCCACCAGAAAAAACCUUGGAUAUAAGAUUCAGUCAGCUGCUUGUCUCAAACAGUCAUGAGAUGCAGAAUUCUUGUAACCAUGGAGACAGCAAAGAGAAGAGAAGGCCAUGCCACUAUCCUUGAGGACUUUAGAUACAAAAGAAAUGAAUCAGAAUGCCAAACCUUGCUCACAACCAUCAGUACCAAAUCCAGAGGCAUAUAGGCCAAACUCUACUAAAUGAAGUUGAACCUGGGUAAGGAGAUAAUCUUUCAGGACACAUCCAAGCAUUAUGUAGAAGAAUCAGGGACAAGAAAAAUGCAGAUGUUCAUUCUCCUGGUGCCUUUCAUGGUUGAUCUGGAUGCUAAACAGUCCUGGCAACUCUCUAUGAAAAAUGCUUCUCUGUCCUUUUCAUCACCCAAGAGAGAAACAGAACCAAUAGGACAAGGGUCCCCAACCCUGAGGCUACAGACCAGUGCCAGUCCAUGGCCUGCUAGGAACUGGGCUGCACAGCAAGAGGUGAGCGGCAGGUAAGUAUUACUUUCUGAGCUCUGCCUCCUGUUAGGUCAGCAGCUGUAUUAGCUUCUUAUAGGAACGUGAACCCUAUUGUCAACUCUAGGUUGCACACUUCUUAUGAGAAUCUAACUAAUGCCUGAUGAUCUGAGGUUGAACAGUUUCAUCCUGAACCCAUCCCCCCAUCCUGGCACCCCCCUUCCCAAACUGAUCCUGUAAAAAUUACCUUCCAGAAAACCAAUCCCUGGUGCCAAAAAUGUUGAUAUAUUGGAGACUGCUGCAAUAGGAGAUUGUGUGUGUGUGUGUGUCUGUGUGUAUGAAAAUUUCACAGACAUGAAAUCUCCUCUCUCUCUCUCCCUAUAUGUAUACCAUAUAUAUAUUACCUCUUUCUAGUUG
rnacentral:lncRNA from 13 species